rnacentral:rRNA from 1 species
UACGUAGGGUGCAAGCGUUGUCCGGAAUUAUUGGGCGUAAAGAGCUCGUAGGCGGUCUGUCGCGUCUGCUGUGAAAACUCAGGGCUUAACCCUGAGCUUGCAGUGGGUACGGGCAGACUAGAGUGCGGUAGGGGAGACUGGAAUUCCUGGUGUAGCGGUGAAAUGCGCAGAUAUCAGGAGGAACACCGGUGGCGAAGGCGGCCAACUGGACGAACACUGACGCU